CUGAUGGAAACGCAUGGGUCGAUGUCGGAAGCGACAGCCCAGCUAUGCUCCGGGACGCCAAAAACGUCCGCAAGGGGCAGCGCGUGACAGUCAG
rfam:Methanocella paludicola SANAE DNA, complete genome.